CCGGGUUGAGGUAGUAGGUUGUAUGGUUUAGUAUUACAUCCUGGGAGUUAACUGUACAACCUUCUAGCUUUCCUUG
rfam:Astyanax mexicanus chromosome 1, whole genome shotgun sequence.